rnacentral:rRNA from 1 species
GACGAACGCUGGCGGCGUGCUUAACACAUGCAAGUCGAACGGAAAGGCCCUGCUUUUGUGGGGUGCUCGAGUGGCGAACGGGUGAGUAACACGUGAGUAACCUGCCCUUGACUUUGGGAUAACUUCAGGAAACUGGGGCUAAUACCGGAUAGGAGCUCCUGCUGCAUGGUGGGGGUUGGAAAGUUUCGGCGGUUGGGGAUGGACUCGCGGCUUAUCAGCUUGUUGGUGGGGUAGUGGCUUACCAAGGCUUUGACGGGUAGCCGGCCGGAGAGGGUGACCGGCCACAUUGGGACUGAGAUACGGCCCAGACUCCUACGGGAGGCAGCAGUGGGGAAUAUUGCACAAUGGGCGGAAGCCUGAUGCAGCAACGCCGCGUGCGGGAUGACGGCCUUCGGGUUGUAAACCGCUUUCGCCUGUGACGAAGCGUGAGUAACGGUAAUGGGUAAAGAAGCACCGGCUAGCUACGUG